AACUUUCCCGGCAUAUAAAAGCAGCGCAAAUCUCGAGAGUCGAGUCACUUUGUUCUUGAGCUCCUCUACCGUGAUUUCUCCUGAUAACGCCAUAACGACAUAAAACUCAAAAUGUUUGAAAAACUGUUGGAAGAAAAGCGUGCAGAGUUUAAAGAGUGGCAUCGGAAGUUCAAAAGACGCGAGAACUUCCUUAAAAGAGAGUUUGUAAUAUUGCCAGGCUAUCAGUGUGACUGGAGGGAAGAUGUUAUGGACAAAACUUGUUCCCCCUUCCAAUUUCGUGGAAGAAAGAGCUUACUUAAAUGGAAGAAUGUUAAAGCCUUAUUUAAAAAGGAGCGCGUCUGGUGGGACAUGUUACCCCCAAAAGUACCUCCCCGUGAAUACCGGGUCUUGUAUUUGAAUAUACCGAAGGAGUGGCCUAUAAGAAGUAUGCUUCUGGAGGAACCAGAAGAUGAGGCCAAAAACUGCAUAAUACAGAGCCACACCAGUGAAAUCUAUUUAGUGAAGCCUGUGACGAUCGACCUGCACUCAGUCCUGUACCAGGCGUUUGAAGAGUGUGAGGCUGGGCCGUCUGAGGGAGCUGAAGUGUGAAGCUCAGCACAUAAACGAGUUAACAAUUUGAUUGGUGCUGAGUUUAUGGUUUCUACUGACCUCCAGCAGUCUUUCUUUGAUGGACUUGUUAAAUAUGUUCCAAGAAUGUUACAGAGUGCAAACUCUACUAGUUGAUGGACAUCAUUUACCUCUGUAAAUAAACCCAAUUUAAAUUCA